CCUUCUAAGGUCUCUCCCAAGCUGGCACGGACUGGCAAUUUGUACAAAUGACACUUCCCUGGGAGGAAAAAAAAAAAAAAAAAGGAAGAAGAAGAAGAAAGACCCACCCCAGCUUCCAAUUUGUGCCUCAUCAGUCUGCUCCAGCUCCUCUUCUCCCGACUUUCAUCCUAAUUUGUGAUACUCUGGCUCUGUUCCUCUGUUCUCCAUCUCCCCAGUGGCUGACCACUGUCAAAACAAGCCAGCCCUUCCCUGGCAAGCAGCGAUGAUUGCAGGGACAAGUGGAACUGCCCCGGCUGCUGGGUUAUUCUGCAUCCUGCUGAGGCUGUGCUCCUGCUGGUCCUGAGCACGGCACAGCCCAUGAUGGGGACCCAGCCUUGGCAUCAGCACUUGGCCGUGCACGGACGCCCAGGCCAAUGAAUCCACAUUAGCUCUCAAAGCGGAUUAGUUAAACCCUAGCAAACUCCUUUGUGGGUGUUUUUAUUCAGUAUUAGAGUGGUUCUAAUUCGAUUUAUCUUAAUUCACUUACAAUUUGCGUAUAAUUAAACUACAGUGAACCAAGGGAUCUGAUUUACCCAGCACCAGUGAAAUCUGAUGAGGACUGUGAAUCAGCCAUCUCAGUUCACUGCACAGUGUAUUAAUAUAAAUUGAAAUCAAUGGUGUUUUACAUUAAUGCUUUCUUGAAUGUCCAUAUACGUGCAUGUCUGGAAGAGAGCACAGAAGGCAUUUGUCUUCAGGGAAAAACACUGACUCCCUUUGCUUUGUGCUCAUGCACAGCACCCAGGAUCAGCUCUUGGGCUUCUUACCCAUUCUCCCUAUUUCCCCACACCUUCCCAGAAAAUGCACUAUGUGCAAUUAUCUGAAGUUGCCCCUUUAGCUGUCGUGCUGCUGGCAAAGGGCUAGGAUGGGAAGACUCGAACCCAGCUGGAGAAGCGCUCUGGACAACGAGGGACACCCUGGGCACAGGAGCCUCCCCUUCCCGCCCCUCAGCUCCAUUCAGAGCCAGAUGCUGGGAAACAGCCCUUAAAUCCAGAAUUCUCAAGUUACAAAGCGGUGAGGCAGUUGCAUUUAGCCACCCUCUCACACUCGAAGAGACAAAGCCGAGCACCCUGUUGUUAUGACCGCGGAUAUCUUCGUGGGGCACCCAGCUGGCCGGGGGGCGAGCAGGAGCCGUGCAACUUUGGUUUAACGCCUCCCCCUCCUCACCGUGUUUGUCUGGCUAAACGCUGCUGCAAAGAAAGCUGAUUGCCGGGCAGCGAGCUCCAAACCCUGCUGGAAGGAGCAACAGAAGCCUCUGAUGGGGAAAAAAAAACGAGGCAGGGUCCUGCUCCCUGCAGCUCCAACAGCUCCAAGCCCCGGUCCCAGGCUCUGCGCACCCACCGCCGGCCGCCCCUCCCCAGCCCGGGGCCUGCCCAGGAGGAGAAGAAAACCAGUUCUCUGCCACCUGGCCAUUACCCGAUUCAUCCAGUACAUCUCAUCUGCUGGACUGGAAGCUCCUGGAGGCAAAGCCUGCUAUUUGCCAUGUGUGGGCACAUCACCUGCAGUAAUGGGACUAUGACUAGGUAAAGGCUUCUAAAAAUGCCACCUCAGUGGAACCGUUACAAUAAUUAUAAUGAUUGUACAGGGUGCCAAAUGUCCUUAACAUCCAGAGAUUUCAGUUCUCGAGCAACAUCCAUUAAAAUUAAUCCCUUUGGGAGGCUUUUUCCAAAUACUUCUUUGGUGGAUUCAUGCUGUUUUCAUUCUCUCAGGUGGAUUUUCGUGCUGGUAAAAAUACAAUGUAAGGAGUGAACUUAAUAUAAGGAAAAUAAGUAUAAUAACCUAGUAGCGUUACAAAAUGUUGCGAUAUUCCUGCAUCAUCCAAGAUUUCUGUGUGUAAAUAAAGAAUUCAGCUUCUUAUUGCCCUGUUCCCUGGUGACAUCGCCCUCCCACACUCCCACGCCUGUUGCAGCAUGGCACUUGUCGAAUACCUGAAUGGUGAUGCUUACCAAAAUCUUGUCCAGCUCUUUGUUCCCUCUGAUGGACUUGUCAGAAGCCCUCUCAAAAGAAAUAAAGCUCCUUAAGAAGCAA